rnacentral:rRNA from 1 species
CUUAAAGGAAUUGACGGGGCCCGCACAAGCGGAGGAGCAUGUGGUUUAAUUCGAUGAUACGCGAGGAACCUUACCUGGGCUCGAACGUAAGAUGACUGUAGGUGAAAGCUUACAUCUCUUCGGAGCAUUUUACGAGGUGCUGCAUGGUUGUCGUCAGCUCGUGCCGUGAGGUGUCGGGUUAAGUCCCAUAACGAGCGCAACCCCUACCUUUAGUUGCCAUCAGGUUAAGCUGGGGACUCUAAAGGAACUGCCUACGCAAGUAGUGAGGAAGGCGGGGAUGACGUCAAAUCAGCACGGCCCUUACGUCCAGGGCUACACACGUGCUACAAUGGCCGAUACAGAGGGCAGCUACCUGGUGACAGGAUGCAAAUCUCCAAAGUCGGUCUCAGUUCGGAUCGGAGUCUGCAACCCGACUCCGUGAAGUUGGAUUCGCUAGUAAUCGCGCAUCAGCCAUGGCGCGGUGAAUACGUUCCCGGGCCUU